rnacentral:misc_RNA from 1 species
GAAAUGCGAUAAGUAAUGUGAAUUGCAGAAUUCAGUCAAUCAUCGAAUCUUUGAACGCACAUUGCGCCCGCCAGUAUUCUGGCGGGCAUGCCUGUCCGAGCGUCAUUUCAACCAUCAAGCCCCCGGGCUUGUGUUGGGGACCUGCGGCUGCCCGCAGGCCCUGAAAACCAGUGGCGGGCUCGCUGUCACACCGAGCGUAGUAGCAAUCACCUCGCUCAGGGCGUGCUGCGGGUUCCGGCCGUUAAACAGCCUUACAAAACCCAAGGUUGACCUCGGAUCAGGUAGGAAGACCCGCUGAACUUAAGC